rnacentral:lncRNA from 1 species
UAAAUAGUGCUAAAUUUAGGUGAAUUGGGCAAAAACAGAUUUGUUAAGGGUAGGUUUUGAAUUUAAAAUUUUUGAUUUGUUGCCCUAAGGAGAAGGCUAUAAAUAAACAGUAUAUGUUGAAGGAAAAAGAAGAAGGGAGGAGGGUACGGCAGAAGACAAAAAAAAUUGGCAAGGAAAAAGAAUUUUUCAUCUCAAACUUUUCUUAGCGCUUUGGUUUUCUUAGCAUUUUCUGGUUUCUUUUACUGAUCCUGGUCUUGAAGAAGUGUUGAGUAGGACUUUUGUUGUUGCUAUAGUGACUACUGAGCUCCAUUUACAAUUUUUAGAUUUUUAUUUUUGAUUCACUUUCUAAUAGGUAUGUAAACUUCAUUUUGAUAGGAAUUUAGAACGAAUUCUGCUCAUGUUAUGUCCUUGUUUCCAGAUCUGUUUUUGCAUUCUUCUAUCUCUUUGAAUCCAUUUAAUUCUCAUCCCAUAAUUAAUGUCAUGAUUUUUGCUUCAAUUAAGUGUAAAAAUUAUUUAGGUUAGUAAAGUAAUAUGUUAAAUGUUAGCUUGUGGGGUCCGAAAAUGUUCAACUAAACUCAUGCAUGUCUCGCAGAUUGGAUCUUUUUUUAUUAAAAAAAUAUUUACGAAGUGAAGUGUACUGCAAAUAAAAUCUUUAUUAUGAAACUCUUUGUGAAUGGCGAUUAAAUUUGUUAGAUGGAAUUAUGUGUAUAAUGUAAAUGAAAUGUGGUUUGUUAUACUGUGUCUUGCUUGAUAGAGACUUUUCAUUCCAUAAGCAUGUCCCUUCUGACAGAAUGUGUACCUUGGUUAAAAAAGAAAAUGUCAAAUCGGUAGGGGAGGGAUGGAACGUCCCCACUGUUGAAUUUUGAUAUUUGUGCUUGGUAAGGAUAGUAUCUAACAUGAAUGUCAUUUUCAAUUACGACCGUCUUAGCUAGAGAAUGUCGAAUUUCUUAUUGUGUGUGAUUUUUUGCACUCGACUUAGUAAAUUCCUUGGAAUGGGAAGGAAGUUAGGAACGUUGAGUCCUUUGAAUCGCUACCGAAUUUUAAUUAAUUGAAGGAGCAUACUGUAUUACGGAUCUUAGUGGAGAACGAUAGCCGGAAAAUAGUAAGCUGAUGGACAUGAAUAAUUCGCCCUAAGCAUAGUUAGAACAUCACGACUAUGAGUACGGUUCCCGUGACGUAGUUGCAAUGAUUAAUUUUGAAUUAAUUUUAAAUAUGAAUAUCCGUAGUUCUUAGUUGAAUGUUUUUCCUUUAAUAAAUUUGAGGUGUGUCAUCCAAUCACCUAGCCCACGGCCCUCAUAAAUAUCAUAACUAGCUAUUUAAAAUGAACCUCGUAGCUUGAUUUAGGCACGUAAUUAAACUAUCACAACUACGGGUACGGUUCCCGUGACGUAGUUGUGGUACUUGGUUUUUUUAAAUUAGAUAAGUAGGAAUAUCUUUAGUUUUCCUUUAAAAAUAUAUACAAACCUUUUCUUUAAAAUAAUUUGAGGUGCGCCAUACACAAAUAAAAUUAACAACAUAUGGCCCUCACAAAGUUAGCCUAGAAAAAUGCUUCGAACUUUCGUAGUUGCUUUAGGCGCGUUAAUUAAAUAAUUGUCAUGGAUACAGGUACGGUUCCCGUGACAUAGUUGUGAUACUUAAUUUCUAAAAUACGGGGAUACAUUUAUGUGACCCGGCCACAAUUUAAUUUUGUUAACAAAAUAAACAUGUUGUAGAUCGUGGGUACGGUUCCCGUGACAUGAUUCGCAAUAUGUAACACUAAUUUAUUAAAAGCGGUUUAAAAGAAUAAAAUGCACAUAGGUUUCAAAGAUGNNNNNNNNNNNNNNNNNNNNNNNNNACCAUAAAUUAUCCCAAGUGGCGGCUCUGAAUUUUAAAUAAAUAAUCUCGUUUCGAUUGUCACUUAAAUUGGAAAAAACUCCCUUAUACCCUUCGGGGGUAGUAAAAAGGAGGUGUGACACCAGGGUCCUCGGGAUAGAUUCGGAAGAUUUUUUGGAAAGUUUGGUUUUGAAAGUGUACAGCUUCAGCUGCUGCCCCUGUCAUAACCACACCUGCGGAUUGGGGACCGCAGGUGCGAGAUCGCAGAAAUGCAAGAUCAGCUGCAGAUGCAGCCAUAUGAGAGAAGGCCAGAAGUCGCAGGUGCGGGAGGUGCAACGCACCUGCGGUCUCACAGGUGCGGAUAGAUAGGCGCAGGUGCGGUUCUAGGGAAUAAGUGAAAAUCGCAUAUGCAAUUGGUUAGACCGCAAAAGCUGUACCGCAGGAGCGGGAAAAGGACCGCAGGUGCGGAAUCCCUAGGUCCAAAAGUAUAUAAGUUCCCCUUCGCAAAAUUUGAGUUGUUUUCCACCAUUUUUAUCCAGAGUUAAAGCUUUUUAGAGGGUUUUGAAGAGGGAAUCAAGGAGGUUUCCAUUGAGGUGAGUUUCUUGAAUCUAACACUCAAUUCUAUGUUGAUUUUCAGUUGUAUAAGUAUGAAAUUUAUGAGAUUAAGGGUGAAAAAAUUGGGGAAGUUAUGGCUUAGAAAUUGGAGAGAUAAAAUUGGGGAUUUGAGGGGCCAUUUGAGGUUCGAUUUUGAUGUUCUUGGUAUGUAUAGACUCGUGGGAGGAUAAGGAUCUAUUGAUGUGAUUUUUAUCAGAUUUCGAGCCGUGAGCCCGGGGCCGGGUUUGACCAAUUUCGGGAUUCUUGAUGUAAUUUGAUUAUUUUUGCAUGGGCUUCGUUCUCUUAGCAUAUAUUGAUGUUAUGAUUCUGAUUUUGGAUAGAUUCGACGUGAGUUGAGGCCGAGUCGAGAGGCAAGGGCGUUGCGGAGUAGGAUUUCAUCUAGUUUGAGGUAAGUAGACCUGAGGGUAUGAAACCCCAAAAUUUCAUAUUGUUUUGAUAAAUGAGGUGACACACAUGCGAGGUGAUGGGCGUGUGGGCAUGCACCUGUAGGGAUUGUGACUUGGUAUGUCCCGUGGCGAUUGUAUAGUUGCAUAUUUUGAUAUACUGUAUAUGAUAUCCAUGUGUUUUAGCAAUGAAUCUGUUAACUUGGGCUAAAUGCCAUGUUUGGGGCCUUUGUGCCGAACUAUUUAGACCCUUGGGGGUAUUUUACUACUUUCCUCACACUCUUUUGAUUUGAAAGAAUAUCAUCAGUCAUGUUUUAUCUGUUUAUUGUUUAAUCUGGUUUCAUUACUCUACUUCUUAAUAUAUGAAAACUAUAUGGGUUGAGUUUCCCUGAUUUUCACGGACAUGCCCGAGUGGCCGUGAGGUUAAUGACUGAGAGAGGUUGAGGACCUAAUGGUGAGGAUUAUACUUAUGUUAUAGACCGGCUGCAUUCCGCAGCGAUAUUAUAUAUGUUAUGGAUCGGGCUGCACGUCGCAGCGAUAUUUAUAUAUAUAUAUGGAUUGAGUUGCACGCUACAGCGAUAUGUAUUGGAUCGGGCUGCGCGCCGCAGCGAUAUGACGGUUGAGUUGUAGGAGUCCCUCCGGAGUCUGUACACCCCCCGUGAGUGCAGUCGACUAUAUAUAUUAUGGAUCGGGCUGCACGCUGCAGCGGUUAUUAUUAUGGGAUAUCUAUUGAGCUGGAGUGCUGAGUGUGAGUACUGAUUGACGAGAGCUGAGUCACAAGUGACUGAAAAGUUUGCCCGAGAGGCCAUACCUAUGAGUGAUACAUUGCCCGAGGGGCUUGUCUAUGAGAUUUUCUAUUUUUCACUCUCCUUUUAUACUGAGCCUCUAUUGAAAAUGAUGACUAAAUGUUUUAAAGGAUUUUGAUUGAAACUGGAGUUUUUACAAGGUAUUUGGUUAUUGAACUGUAGAUUUUGACUUUGAUAUUUCUGUUGAGAUUCUUGAUAAAAUAUGCAUAUGAUUUUAAAUGCUCGUCAGUGCACUCAGACUUUAUUUACUUUAGUUACUUAAAGAGUUGUCAUACUCACGUUACUCCCUGCACCUUGUGUGCAGAUCCAGGUGCACGAGCAUCAGAGUGAGAGCUUUCAGCACCUUCAGAGUCUUAUCCGGAGAUUGCAAGGUAGUUGCACGGCGUUUGCAGCCUUGCCUUUCUCCUUCCUAUCCCAGUAUUUUGUAUUUCAGACUUAUUUUGUAUUAAGCAGAUAGUGUUGAAUGUACUUAGUGGCUCAUGACUAGUGACACCAGAUUCGGGCUGUGUUGAUGUAUUUACGUACUUAUUUCCGCGUAUUUUUUUUUUAUAUUUUAAAAAUAAAAGAUUUGAGACUUAAUCUGUUUAGAAAAAUGAAUUUUACAAAAGAUCCUCAUGUUGUUCGUGUUGUUUCUGCUGGCCUAGUACUGUGAUAGGCACCAUCACAAUCGGGGUGUUUGGGGUCGUGAUAAUAUUGUUGAUCACGCUUAAAAAUAUAGAAGGAAAUCUUUACGUGUGAUUCUUGGAGAGAAAGAAUCCUUAUUUAUUUGAGUUUUCAAUUUUUGUAUGUGUUUGGCUAAUUUUAAUAAAUCUACAAUUAUGGCUAGAAGUUUGUAAGCUACUACUUAUUUGGGACUUUUCGUAAGAUUCCCAAAAUUAACACCAACGAAACUAAAGUUUGCUGAGAUGUAAAAGUCUUAAAAAUCUAUUAAUAAGUCUAUCUAUCCAACUGGACAUGUUGUGAUAAGGUUAACUUGGUUUCUAUUAUACCUCUGGUCAAAGUUAGGAAAACUACCCCGCUAUGUGUCUGACUUUUUAUGUGUCUAUAUGGUUAUCACUUGUUCAAAGAUAAUGGCUUAUUUGAAUGAAAUAAGUCAACAUACUUCAUUUAAUUGUGUAUAGUAUUACAAAUUCAAUGGCCAUUGAUGUAGUAUUUGCAAUAUAGUUCCUUAAAGUUUGAAUUAAUGUGGUUUAAUAAUAUUACAGAUAUUUAAUAUAUAUUUUCAGAAAAAACGUAUUACGAUCAAAAAGUAGUAUACUUCAAAUGAAACAAAACAAAAAAUAAAAAUUAUGAGAUAUAGAGGACUAAACCCUAAAUCAAUAGCAAGUAGAGACAUGACGUUCAAUAUAUAUUUUCAGGGAAAAAAAAAUGUUCAAGUGAAUCUCAAUCUCAAACCCACAAUGUUCUCAAACGAAAUAUGUGGUAUUAUGGCUCAAAAUUUGAGUUGUAAUAUUCAAAUUCCAUAUUGGAGAUAGAUGAAGAUGAAUUUUAAAUUACUGGAUGGAAUAAUCUUUUGGUUAAACAUGUGUUUUUUUUAAGGAAUACCAAAGGGAUAAAUUAAAAAAUAGCCAGAUUUACAAGUGGUCAUUCAAAAAUAGCCACAGUUUCAAAAGUAAUCAAAAUUUAGCCACUUUUCAUGUAAAGAUAAAUCUGAACGAAAAUACUGUUCAAAAUUCGAAAAAUACUCCAACAUAAUAUAUUGGAGUUCCAGCAUAAGUAUACUGGAACUCCAGUAUAUUAUAAUGGAGUUCCAGCAUAAGUAUACUGGAACUCCAGUAUAUUAUAAUGGAGUUCCAGCAUAAGUAUACUGAAACUCCAGCAUAAUAUACUAGAGUUCUAGUAUAAUAUACCGGUCCGGUAUAAUAUGCUGGAAGUUCAUACACAGGUGCUCCAAUCUCCAGUAUAUUAUGCUGAAACUUUCGCGUGUUGGAGUUUCAGUAUAAUAUGCUGGAAGUUCAUACAUAGAUGCACCGAUCUCCAGUAUAUUAUGCUGGACCGGUCCCUAUUGCAGCAAAAUAGUGGCUAUUUUUCAAUGACUUUGCAAACGCUGGCUAUUUUUGAAUGACCAGUCCGAAAACUGGCUAGCCCGUGCUAUUUUACUAUACCAAAAGAUUCAAACAGUUAGGUCAUAGAUACAAUCUAAUGUGAAGGCUGCAUUGAGUUUCGUUUGACGCAAAAUCUGGUCCAUUUUUACAACUAUUUUAGUUAUCUAAAUCCGGAAUGAGAAAUUGUCAUUCCUAGUUGUAUUUUAGUAAUCUUUUGUUAGCUCUAUAAAUAAAUAGCUUAAGAGGAUAACAUCCUCAAAUCAGCGCAUUCAGAGAAAAAUGGCCUUUUACAAAGCUAGUAUCCUUUCUCUCCUCCUAUUAUCUGGUAAGGCUUCUUUGAUAUAUAUAUAUAUAUAUAUAUAGCCAAAAUGUCAUUUUAUAUCUUUACUUUGUGUUGAUUUGGGUGCUUUAAUUUAUAGGUAUAUUUCUGUUGGGAAUUGGUGAGGUGAAAUAUGUAAAUGCCAAGUCAUGUCUCCAGUUUUGUGAUAAUGAAGUGGCAUACAUGACUUGUCCCUCUUCAGGAGAUGAGCAAAUUAGUCCAGUAUGUGUCAACUGUUGCACAGCAGAUGAAGGUUGUAAACUUUUCCGCACUGAUGGAUCAUUAAUUUGUACUGGAACCCAAGAUUAACUCAUCCUUCUCAAAAAUGUAAUAAUUAACUAAAAUCUCUAUACAUACUCAUAUCAUAUGUGUGCAAUAAGGCCUGAGUUUAUUAUUACUCAGGUGAUUUCUAAUGUGCAAUUAUGUUUGCAUCCUUUGUCUGAGCUUGUAAAGAUAUGAAUAAAAAGUAAUAAAUUAUAUCUAUCACAAUGUUAUUUUAUUGAAGUUUAAAUUCUUUGCAUGGUAACAAGCAGCUGAAAAGAUAGCGCUAGUGACCUAAAGGGAGAGUUAGUACAGUGAAAAGGUUGAAAUACAAUAACUUAUUAUUUGCUGCAAAGUUAGCCGUUGGAUUAAAUAAUAGAGAUGGUACAAGGAUUAUGCACCUGUUAACAUAGCAGAUUUCUCUUAGACACAAAAUUAAAUCUUCAAGAACUAAUUGUCUCCUUCUAUUUUUGUGUUUCUACUGGAGAGGUCUAGGGGAAUACUUCAUUUCCCGACUGGAUUUCUCAUUCUUGUUUUCUCUAGUAUGUUAAAUCCCUAGCAGCAGCAAGGUGGAAAAAGAACAAAAAAUGAAAAUAUAAGUACUAUUGUUCUUCUUUGGCUUUUAUCCAGCACAGUACUAUCAUAAUAUCUAGCAACACAGGAUGAAAGAACUCAGACCUCUUCAUUUGUUGCUCUUGUCUGUUUUUACUCUAAAUUUUUCGUACAUGCAGGAAGACGACGGUAGUUGUGCUCUGCAGCACGUUUUUCCCCUCCUUUUUUUAAUAGUAUUAAGACUUACAACUUUUGCUCCACCAGCGUGGGCAAAAUAGCAGAGCAAGUAUUAGAAGUAUAACAGACAAGCUUGCAAGCAAUCUGUAGAUUAUCCUAAUUGCAAAACCAUGAAUCGACUUGGCAAAAAAGAGAGCUGCUAUACAUAAGGAAGGAUACUCAAAUAUAUACACGUGAUCUGGUCAUUCACUAUCUACCUACAGGGCUCUAAUUCAAACUGGAUCAGCUUUCUGGAAAAUCUCUUGAAAACAAUAUAGAAACAAAAAACAAAAGAAUGGGCACAAGGAGAUCCACUCCACCACGGGGACAGCCUGCAAUCACGGCAUCAAUACAUGCAUCAGUAUAUAACCUAAAAAAAGAGUAAUUCCUACAUUAACAUGGCACUACGACCUUUCUUAAAGAACAAAACAUGGCACUAAUAGUGUACACCAUCCCCCACCCCACUACCAAGAAAAAAGGAAGAAAAGCGGAGGAGAAUUUGCAAAAUAUUUCAUGAAAAGACAGUUGCGUAUGUAGUUCUAUAUAGUUUUUAUCCAUAAUAGAAACAGAAAUCUAUUUCAGUCUCUCACUUGAUAGGAUGCAAUUGUCGUCCAAUGGCUAAAACUCACUUUUCAAGGGAAAUGAUAAAUGCAAUUCCAUCUUGAGAAGAAAGCAAAAAAUACUACCUAGCAUGACGUUUGAAAACAAAUAUCAUCACAGGAAUAAACAAAAGAAUGUUGAAAAUGAAAGAUACUCACUAGAAUUUCCUAAUGUCUCUGAUGUUGGUAAUGCCGGCAACGACAUCUCUGCAAAUUGAAGCAAUUCAUCAAGACAUUUAUUUACCGUAAAGAUAAUUAAUAUGGAGCUAUAUGCCAAAAGUAGCUUCACUUUGGCAGAAAGAGAAUUUAAUGUGAAGUUAAGUCAAUUACCGGGAGCACAUAGAGAAAAAGAUGUGCCGGUCAAUGAUGAAGGCCAUGGAGCAGCAAUAUUGUCAUUUAAGUCGCAAGUAAAGCUGAAACCUGUUGAGUUGUCAUACACCAGAUCUGCUGGAUAACUUCGAAGUAAGCACCCUGCUAAUUAAUUUAAAUGACAUAAUAAGUACAACCUACACCAAGAAAACCUAAGAUGCAUUCCACAAGGCAAAAAGCAACGCUGACAAAAUACUGGCAUUGUAACACGCAGUUGCACUUAUUUUUUCAGUCAAACGCAGUUACGAAUUUCAGUUUGCUUACCAACAACAGCAGAUGCAUGCAUAAAAUUCCAGCUAUCCCUAAGCUAGAGGAUAAUCUUUCAAGUGCUCACUUCUCAUAAGUUGUAUGCAUGCAAAUUGUGGAAUUAAAUAGGUGAAUCAGGGAGUAGCGAAAUUGCCAAGCUUAAAAGCAGUGACAACCUACUAAAAAAUGACAGAACUUUAUUAGAGCAGAUGGCACUGGUGCUGCUUUUGUUAGGAUUAUUAACUUUUCUUUGUAUUUCUUCACCCUAAACAAUAUAAGGAAUGCAAGGCAAUUCCUUGCAUUCAUGCUCUUACAAAUCGUCAUUGAGCAACUAUGUUUGAUGGUCCCAUCCCAUGAAAUCAGCAGGUAAUCAAUUGAAAAUAACCCAAUGACACCUUUAUAUAUCCGUGAGGGUGCACACUGUUGCAAGAGAGUUAAGUAGCUUAAUUAUCAAAGGCGAAUACUCACUUAUUAUGACUAGUAAGCUAGCUGUAGGGAACCUGCUCUAAGGUAUCAUGAUACUUGUACGGUACCAUAGAGCAAUUAUUCAUAUUCUCGUCACUAAGAGUAAGGGCUGAAAGUUUAGAUUCAGUUUAUCGAGAAAAUGGAAAAAGAAACUCACUUCAACUCACAGCCCAACAGUACUAAAUGUAUGCUAAUAUUAGAUAAAACAAUAGUUGCAGGGCUGUGGAAAGAGGUAAUAACUAUCGUCGGCAUGAGAUACAGAAGGCCCAUAAUAUCUUUAUUUUAAAAAAGAAAUAUAUUAUGAUGGUGAUACCCAGGCCAGCUUGCGCGCACCUCAACUAUUCCACCAAUUACCUGCUACCUCCCACGGUAAUUAGCCCAUAUAAUCUUUAUUACACCAUUAUGGCAGAUGGAAAUACGGAGUCCUACAACAGUAACAAAACUGCAAUUUCUCAAUCUGUCUAAAAGUUCCAAGUUCUUUAGGAGCUUAUAUUGGUUGAAACGACUGAUAUGUAUAAUAGCAUAACAAGUUCAGAGUUUCUGAGAGAAAUAAAAACUUAUAUCCAAAUAUCUUCGUAUGAAAAUUUAUAAAAUUGAGUGCUUUAUGCUAAAGAAAGAAACACGGGCCAAUAUUUAUUAACAGCAAAUCAGAGAAUGAAAAAGCAUACAAAAUAAUAGAGUUAGUACCUUCUUGCCCAUAUGCUGCUCCAUUGCAAACAGACGCCAAUCAUAAAGAAAGCGAACAUCAGAUAAAAACAAUAGAAUAGAAAUCAACAAGCAAUUAAAAAACAAAAUUAAAAAAUGAACAAUCACCUUGAAGACUAAAGUCUUUCAAGUCAACAUCACAAAGCUCAUAAACAUUUGUCAUGACCCCAGCCUUCUGUAACAUAGAACCAAACGCCGCAGCACACAUAAUUGCUUGCUGAUUUGUAAUCAACAUCUGCCUCUGCAUCCCAGUAAUAUAGGCAUUUAAUGAGCUACAACAUGAAGGACUAGGAGCGGCUAAAUUUCUGCACGCAUUGAUCACUUCUAAUGGUUGCUUGAAUUCCAGGGGACACGCUGCAAACCAAAAGAAAACAUGAUUAAAAAUAUGCCCCUAAUCACAACUGAAAUAUGCUAGAACGAAUAGUACAAUUCUGCUGGUGUGAGCCAACCCGAACUAGUUUUGGUUUGAGGCAUGUUUGUUAUGGUUGUUGUAGAAGGUAUGGUACACAGGUACAAAUAGAUUUAAGAAAAUAUUCGAGUUUAGACUUUUGAUAAACGUGGAUAAUCCACAAACUGUUUAUCCUUCUCAUUUGGGGUAAGAAAGACAUGAAUAUACAACAAGUGGAUGACUUCUUAUCUCUGAUCUCAAGCUAAGUUGCUCGGACUCGGGUGCAGGUGUCCGGUAUGGGUGCGAAUCUAGAGGUCGGAUCCUUCAUGAUCUAAAUUUCAAGAUUCGGGGGGUAUGAAUCCAAGUACAAAUAUGGGUGCAGGGAUUUGACUAAAAAUAAUUCAAAUAUCUAAAAAUAGAGUUAUAAAAAUAUGUCUAUAUUAUGAGACAUUAUGCGAAAAACUUACAAUGUAUUCCGAGAAGGAGAAAAUAUUGAUCAAGAGGAGAAUCCGAGGAGAUAAAAGGAAAAGGACUGACAUAGAAAUUUCUAUAUAAAAGGUAUUUUAUUUUCUUCAAUUUCACCGUAGUUUGUAUUUUGAUUUCAAAAAUUAUUGUAUCUAUGCCGAAUUUCUCCGUCGAUUUUGGCCAAAGUAAUCAAAAUCGGUUGACCAGUUCCGGUAUGGAUCACACACCCACACCCACACUCACGUCAUGUCGACAUGGGUGCAGCACCGAAAGUGAAGAGUCCAAGCAACUUAGAUCUCAAGCAUAAUCCCAUUUUAACCGGACCAUAUACAACUCUAAUCCAUCGAAGGUAGCUGCUUCUUCAUUUCAUAUUAUUUGACCUUAAUUCUAAGGAAAGAACUGGAUAAUUUCAUAUGGAGGAGAAAAAGUUGGCAAAAUAUGUCCAACUUGUGGCAAAUAGAAGAUAAAAAUCCAAAAUAAAGCUAUGUUCUUAAGGAUGUGCAAUUUUCUUUUUUCUUUUUUUUUUUGGGAGAGGGGGGGGAGGAAUUAACUUUAAGGAUGCGCAAAGUGUCAAGGUUUCUUGUAAGUAGCCGAAAAUGGCAUAUCUCUACAGAGUAGGUGAACCUUGGAAGCCAAGCGCGCAAAAGAAAAAACACAUUUAUUCAAAAGUUAUAACAGGAUCAGAUUGUAAUUGAGCCUUUUGCAAGACACAGUAACACAAGCCAUAAGAAUUAAGGACAAAUAUAAGCACUUGCUUAUAUAAGUUGUACAGCUAACUAGAAUUACUUAGUUGAAUUUUUUACUUCUCCAGUUGCAAGGAAUGCACCCUUUUUCAGUGGUAGAAAGGAAUUUAGUAAUAUUUUAGUCACCAAUAGAUUUUUCUUUCUUUUUUUUUUUUUUUGGGGGGUGGGGGGGGGGGGGAAGCUGAUGUUAAUUCAGUCAUCUUCACCUCGACGAAUUUUGCUAAUCUCUAUGUCCUUCACGGUUAAUAUGGAAAAUAUACAUUUGUUUUAUCAGUCAGUGUUGUGAUUUUCAAACCACAAUUUUAGUUCAAAUAGGAAAGGAUGAAAGCACUGCUCUGACAAGUCACAAGGAAGAUACCAGAUCUUACUAAACAAAGAUCAUUCGUGAGCCCUCGAAAGCUAGGUCCUAUAGGUUCCUAAAGCAACAUCCUAACCAGGAUCAGCAUGAAAGACUGAAGAUUUAAUUUUCAUCCCAAAAGAAAAAGGACAGAAGAUUUGAUCCUCAAACGCUAACAUGCAAGGUUAGCAUUACAAUAAUCUAAUCUGUAUAGUAAAUCAUUUCCAGAAACAAAACUAAAGGCAAUUCACAUUAUUCAAUGGUAGGCUAACAUGUACGAUGAUGCAACAAUUAAAAAUUUCUUUAAAAAAAGAGAGCUAUUCAGAAACAUUAACCAUGCGUCAAAACCAUGAAUUAAGCCAAAGCUUUAACCUAGCCAUUAAGUGCAAUAACAUUUGCCGUAACAUUCUCAUAAAGACCACAAGUUUGAGUUGUUCAAAUGCUUUCAUGACCACAACUACAUCAUUCCAGCCUGUGUUAUAUAUUUCAAAUCACAUAUAUUCAAUUAGAACGUAAAAGUAUUCCUUGGUUCGGUUUUGGAUAGACAAUUACAUUUAGAUGUGUGGCAGGGGGCAUACAAUAUAUUUGAGGCAAACUUGCUCCAUUAACAGCCCUAUCGGGGUAGGGGUAAGGUCUGCGUACACUCUACCCUCCCCAGACCGCACUUUGUGGAAUUUUACUGGGUCGUUGUUGUUGUUGUUGGCUUGUUGCUCCAUUAACAAUUAGAAGUCAUGGGCUGUUAUUUUAACCCCUAUGGCGAUAGAAAAAUUUCUACUGAAUGCGUCUCAGUCGGAGUGGCCAAAAAUCAAACAUCCGAACCCCAUGUUGACAAAAAUAUAAAUAUGAGAUUAGAGUCAGGUUCACCAUAACAAAUUUUGGAGGAAAUAGCAUAGUCAAAUAGAACAGAACGAGAAACAUGAGUUCUUCUAGAAGAAUAAAAAUUUCACAAACACGUUCAGGGCCAGAUGUGACAAAAACUAACCUUUGUUAACUUUGCAGGAAGAUAACAACCGAAAUGCAGAAUUGGCAUCAUCAAAUCGUAGUUUUCUUGCAAUCCACGAAUAGACCACUCCUUUACAGUCACUAAGUGUAUCAAUUUCACUAGGCACUCCAACUAUGUUCUUACCACCAUGACUCGUCUUUAUUCCUGAGAUCUGAAGCACGGCCUCAGAAAUAGCAUGCUGGCAAACAGGCCUACAGCAUUCUUUAAGAGUAUCAACUGUGCUGCACGCCUCCAACAACUUGCUUGUAUUCACUGUUUUCUCGAAAGUGCCAAUGUCCUUCACAGGACAAGACCCACCAGUUAUAUUUGAUGACUUCACAGAGCAUAGGCCAGGAAUUGAGCUGUUUGCUCCUUUACUAGCUAAUAUACUGAUGAUAUCUCUAAAACAAUCAUCAGCUACCGCACUUUGUAAAACUAAAGUAUCAGAAUGGUUGCUGUAAAAUCCCUGGAAUAUGCGGAGUAAGCUAUUGAACUGAGGACAGCAUAUUACAUUUCCUACAACUGUUGACAAAGACCGAGUACAAUCAGAUGCUGUCUUAUCUGUGAUGCUUGAAAUAACAGAGAAAUUCACAGGGCAUCUUCCAGUCAAGACAGGGUCAUAUGUCUUCGGAAACGAAGGGUACAUUGGUGGCAAUGACUUCACCGGGAAAGGAUAAUGAGGUAUGACAGCAGGCGGUAUCUCAAUUGGUUCAAAGAUUCCACUUUUGGGAGGGCUAGCCAGUUCAGAUGUGGAAGAAGUUUCGCCUGUUUUAUGUGGCACAUGUAGAGCCACUACAUUCUGAUAGCUGGCCAACCAGAUAGCAACGACUAGCAGCUGAUGGCUCAACAAACCUGCAAUCAGAUGCAACAAGUAAGGGCCUGGAUAGAAAACAAAUGCACAUGCAUAAGCAGGAGUUGGGCAAUAUCAAGUUGCAUCUUGGAAGUGGUCAUUUCAUGCAAUUAAUUUAAGUAAAACAACCCUUGAAAUUUUACCGAUUUAAAAAAAAAACAACCCUUGAAAUUUUGACAGAACUUCAGCAUUAUAAAGAUCUUUCAGUGACACAAAGAAACCACAAGGCAAAACCAACUACAGCACAGCAUCUUGCUCAUCUUCAUUCAGAAAGGAAUAAUAUAAUGGCCACUACCAGGAAGAAAAUGAGAAUAGGCUACCAAAAAUCAGUACAACCUCUCAACAACUGCCAGCUAAAUUAUGUCUGCUAAAAUACUUUGUAACAACACGUUGGAUGCCAUUCUUUAGGGGACAAAACAGAAAGCCACCAAGAACAUGAGUACAUUUACAAUAGAUGGCACAUAGUUAAAGUCCAAAAUUCUCUUCCCAUGUCUCUAAUAAGAUGAAGUCUAGCAUAUUAAUUUUCACAAGACCAGUAAUGUACCCUUGAGACGAGUGGCGGUCAUCGCACAAGCCAUGCCUCUGCUAACCCUCCCGCAACAUGGAGACACACAAUCGAUACCUUUAUGCUGCUGAUGGUACGGGAAUUGAGCUGGUCACAUAAAUAUUAUGACGUACCAGUACCUACGAUAGAUUCAGCCGCAUAGAUUCAGCCACCGGGUUAAUUGAGAGAUUAAGGCAACAAUCAAAUAAUCUGAAAUUGCCUUAGAUAGCGCAUGGCAUACAUAUUUGUAAAUAACUUUUUAUCUUAUUUGUAAAGAAAGAGGUACAAAAAUUUAAUAGCAGCAAUUUUUUAUAACACAGGUAUUCGGACCAGCUUGUGCACCUCGAUUAAUUUCACGGGGUACCUACUACCUCCACCAGCACAGAUACCGGGUAACUCUAUCUACCAAGGCUUGGACAGAUGAAAAGAAACCAUCUGGUGUUUUGCCUCCGCUGAGAUUUGAACCUGAGACCUCAUGGUUCUCAAUCCACUUCAUUGACCACUAGGUCACACAUUCGGGUGCAAUAAUUUAAUAGGGGCAUAAUAGUUCCAAAUGCCUCUUUUUCUCUUUCAAGAAACAUAAGCAAACCAAUGUUCUUCAAUAUCAUCACAAAUAAGUGCCAAGGAACUUCACUACAAAAGAAAUGCACAAUCUCAUGAUCAUGUCAUAAGUAGGAGUGGCAAACGGGCAGGUCGGGUCGGAUAUGGUUCAGGUCGAAAACAGGUUAAAACGGAUAAAUUAUCCGGCCCGCCCAUAUUUAAUACGGAUAAAAAACGGGUUAACAGGCAGAUAAUAUGGGUAACUAUAUCAUCCAUGACUUUUUGCAUAUCAUCACUUUUGGGAGAAUUCUUAGUCUCCUUAACUUGAGGAACCCCCAAUAUGAGGCUUUACAAAUGUAAAAGUUAGACCCAUUGGUUAUCCAUUGGUUACCUAUUGGUUAUCCAUUUUCUAAAUGGAUAAUAUGUUUCUUAUCCAUAUUUGACCCGUUUUUAAAAAGUUCAUUAUCCAACCUAUUUUUUAGUGGAUAAUAUGGGUGGAUAACUAUUUUCUUUGAACCAUUUUGCCACCACUAGUCAUAAGUUACACUCGUCUCUAGAUGCCAUGGCAACAAAAGCGGACUGACAUGUCUUCAAAUAUCAAACUAUUGUUUUCACCUAAUCCCAUUAUUAUGAUUUUCCAAAUUCGGAGAAAUAUGGAAGUUUAGGUCCACUAUUUCCCCCGACUUUCUAUAACCUGAAAGUUCUACCACACAAUUGAAACUCUACUACAAAAUACAUCUGGAAAAGUUACAAUCAGAAAUUUCAUGAUUCAUCCAACUCUUUCCCCCCCAAUUUCUAGUAUCACUAGAUUUCCUUCUUAACAGAACUAUCCUAGUCCAUUGAUGACAUGACCAGAGUCAGAUCUAGAAUUUGAACAUUAUGAGUUCGAGAUUGGAAUUCUACUACAACCCAUUUGCUUUAUUGUGUUCGAAAUCUAUUAUUGUACUUAUUUCUUGGUAUAAUUAUUAUACACUGACGCUCUAAAUAAUAUUUACACAUCUAGCCACUUAAAAACCUGCUACUACCAACUCAAGUGUAUACAACUUAAAUCCAUAUUUCUUUUCCUUAUUUUUUAUUUAUUAAAAAAAUUAUGCUCAUUUCUUCUAUAGGGAAAGAAUACUCCUUUUUAAUAAAAAGAAAUGCCAAUUAAAAAAUUCAAAAUUAAAAUGAUAAAGGAGUUAAUUUUUUUCUAUAGAAAAAAAUGCCCUCUAAAAUAAAGAUUAAAAAACAAUUACAAACUCAAGAACUAAACAAACAGGAAGUUAAAAUGCGGCUCAAAAUACCUAAGAUCCAGAGUUACGAAAAGCAUAGAAAUACACAAAAAUUUAACUAACUGCAUAGUUAUAUAUAGAUAAAUAACAGAAAUAGAAAAAAUAAUGAAACAUACCUGAAGUUAAAAUUCAGUAGAGACCAGAAAUUCUCCAAAUCAUUUGUCAUUAAAUGAAUGCUUGGAUCCAAAGAAUUGUAGACUAAGAGACUCAAUAAAUCGACAAAUGAUUUGAUUCAGUGUAUAUAUCCAUUAAAGGGUAAGUAGUAAACGGGUGUGCCAAAGAAGAAAGAACCCUAGAACCAGAGGAAGAAAGAGUAGUAGCAGCAGGUAGGUGUUCAGGAGGGGGUAUGGGGAUGUGUUUUCUUUAUUUUAGAGGUGCCGUUUUAGGGGAAAUUGCCUAUUAUGUCACAUCAGUACAUUAGGGGGCGUCUAGACUUAAGAACGGUAAAAUAGCAGGGGGAGGGGGAAUGCUACUAUAUUUGUAAAUUACUCUAUUUGGAUAUGAAUAUAAUUUUGGACUUUUUAAUUUUUGUAAUUAAUUUAAAAUAAAAAAAUUUAAAAAUAGCUUUUAGAGUUUUUCAAAUUUUUCGAAAAAUUUCGAAAUUUAUCUUCAAGUGAAAAUAGGUAGGUAAUUCAUUCUUACGUGAGAACUUUUGCUCCUACGCUCGACCUUUUCUCUCUCUAACACUCAAGAAUGUUGCUUCUAAAAAUUUCUGUCGGCCACUUUUUUUCCGGGGACACUUCACGUAUCGGUGCAGGUAAGGUAAGGUUUUCUCUUCUCCUCCUAUUCUCGUUCUCUCCCUUUUCUUUGUUCCCUACUCCCCUUCUCUUUCUCUCGAUCUCUUCCCCCCUUUCCCCCUUUCCAUGUUUCUUGGUGUCAGUCGCCGGUCAUCGGGAAUAACCUGUUGUCGGCGGUAGCCUUAGGUCCCAGGCAUUACCCCUCUACUCUCUCCCAUUUCUCUUUCACUCUCGUCUCUCUCCCUCAUCUUUUCAAACCCUAAAUUGCCGGUGACAGCUAUUGUCCAACAAUCCCUUUUCUUUUCUCUUUCUUCCUCUGCUCUUUCUCCUUUCUUACAUUGCCCCAUUUUAUUGCCCGUACCAGUCGCCCUAGGCGGCGACCCAGGCAAUUUGUGGUUUUUGUCUUAUAUCUUGGACAGGGCGGGAUAGACAAUUGUACUCAGGCUUAAGCACACGGGUUCGGGAGGCAGCAACAUACAGCGAAUUGGGAAGCGCAUCUGGACAUCUCCGAAUAUAAUCCAUGUUCUAUCUUUCUUGAAUUGUAUUUGCGCACAUCUCUUUACUGUUGCCUUGUCGGCAAUUUUUGUUUGUGUACACAUCUGUUAGUUUUGGCUGCCUUGACGGUAACCCGUAGUUGGAUUGACUGCUUUCGGUAGACAACACUUGCUUGUUUUUCUAUCUUUUACAACUAGUGGUUUAAGCUUAAGGUUUCGUCUAUCCCUUUUAAUUCUUUGUUUGCAUAGCGGUAGUUUCUUAGACGUGGUAGAUUCAUUGUUCUAGUGACUGCUUGCGUACUUUUCUCAUAGUAGUGCCUUUGAGUUGUUUUUAGCUCUCAGAUUCCUAGUUUGUAUUCAUUUGUUCCCGCUAUUUGUUCUUAUUGGUAAUGAUUACCUAAUACCUCUUGCUUAUAGUGGUGGUAGUAAAUGAUGUGAGAGUAAGGUCAUGUCCUCGGAUGGGGAUGGGGGUAGGGUCCAGGGGUGGAAAGGGGGAUAAGAGAGCCUCUAGGCUGAGAGUUGGGUCCUAGAAUAUUGGGACGUUGAUAGGGAAGUCUAUAGAGUUAGGUAAUAUUCUUCGGAAGAGAAUAGCAAAAGCUCCUAUUUAUGGACCUGGAGAUGAAGAGGAGUAGGAAGAAGACGGUGGUGUGCAGGCAACCUAAGAUCAAGUGGGGUAACUUGACCAAGGACAAAGCUUAGGAGUUAGGGGAGAAGUUGUUAGCUAUGAGGGUCUGGAUGAGAAAGGGGACGCGUUUAGUAUGUGGAUCACGACUGCGAAUUGCAUUAGGAAAGUUGCUAGAGAGGUCUUUGGGGUCACGAAGGGCUUUCCUAGGGGUCAUAAAGAGGACUGAUGGUGGAAUAGAGAGGUCCAAGGUAAAGUGGAAACUAGGAAAGCUGCUUAUUUGAAGCUAGUGGAGAGUACAAAUGAGGAGGAAAGAAGGACUUAUCGGGGGUGUUACAAAGAGGCAAAAAAAGAAGCAAAGUUAGCAGUUAUGGUGGCUAAGAACGCGGCAUUUGCUCGUUUGUACGAAGAGCCCAGGGCCAAAGGUGGGGACAAGAAGUUGUAUCGGUUGGCCAAGAUGGGGAACGGAAGGCCCGUAACUUAGACCAAGCCAAGUGCAUCAAGGACGAGUAUGGCAAAGUAAUGAUGGACGAGGCACUUAUUAGAAGAAGAUGACAGACAUACUUUCAUAAACUGUUGAACGAGGAGGGGGAUAAAAGCAUUGUGCUGGUUGAGUUGGAGCACUCCGAGAGUCUGCGGGAUUUUGGGCACUGCAGGUGGAUUAAGGUAGAGGAGGUGGAAGCAGCGAUGCGUAAGAUGCGUAGGGGCAAAGCGACGAAGCCAGACAAAUCCGGUGUAAUUUUGGAAGAGAGCGCUCACUGGGUUAUUUAAUGUUAUUUUGAGGAUGAAAAAGAUACCUAAAGAAUGGAAGUGGAGUACGAUGGUCCCACUGUACAAGAACAAGGGUGAUAUCCAAAAUUGCAAUAAUUAUAAGGGUAUCAAGUUGUUGAGUCACACUAUGAAGGUUUGGGAGAGGGUGGUGGAGGCCAGGGUGAGGAGGUGCAUGUCUAUUUCUGAGAAUCAGUUUGGAUUCAUAUGGAGGCAUUUUACUACGAAAGUGAUUCAUCUGAUAAAGAGAUUAAUGGAGUAGUAUAGGGAGAGGAAGAAGGACUUGUAUAUGGAGUUCAUUGACCUUGAGAAAUCGUACGAUAAAGUUUCGAUGGAGGUUCUAUGGAGGUGUUUGAAGGUUAGCGACAUUCUGAUGGCGUACAUUAGGGUGAUUAAGGAUAUGUAUGAUGGUGCUAAGACUCAGGCGAGGAUUGUGGGAGCUGACUCGGAGCAUUUCUCUAUUGUGAUGGGGCUGCACCUGGGAUCAACUCUUAGCCCAUUUUUAUUUGCAUUGGCAAUGGAUGUACUGUCGCGACACAUUCAAGGGGCGGUGCCUUGGUGCAUGCUAUUUGCUGAUGAUAUAUUGUUGAUUGACGAGACACGAAGUGGAGUUAAUGCGAGGUUGGAGCUUUGGAGAUAGACCUUGGAGUCUAAAGUUUUCAAGUUAAGUAGAACCAAAAUAGAAUACUUGGAAUGCAAAUUCAGUGACGGAACCCAUGAAACAGAUUGUGAUGACUCUAUAGGUCAUAUCUUGUUUUAGAAGUCAAAACUGUAUCUCGAGGCCUUAAAAACCUCUUUUUGUCUUACCUCGAUUUGCGUACACAGUCUGAGCGUGUUUUCGAAAAGCUUUUAUGUGAAGUUUUAGAAAAAAAUAAUGAAUUUGGCCUUUAAAAUGGGUUAAAGUUGACUUUGGUCAACAUUCUUGGUAAAUGGACCCGAACCCGUGAUUAAAUGGUUUCGUAGGGUCCGUAGUAAAAUAUGGGACGUGGACGUAUGCCCGAAAUCGAAUUCCUUAGGUCCCAAGCUGGAGAAAAAAAAAA